ensembl:snRNA Gm23170 predicted gene, 23170
UUGCUCACUUCAGCUGCACAAAUACUAAAACUGGAAGUAUAGGGAAGAUGACAACGGCCCUUGUGCAAGAAGGACACACAAAUUUUCCAAGUGUUCUACUCAUCU